UUCUGAUAACAGGGCGAUUGUGGGUGAUAUUUUUUUGAUAUUUGUAAAUCACAUCUCGAAUAUCUGAUUUUCCAUUUUUGAAAUCGAAUUGGUAGGGAUCGAUUCGGAAGCUACCAAUGGAAUUUGUUUCUGCGAUAUUGAUGAAUGAUUGCUAUCGUUUAAAAAUAAAAGUAAACAUCGGAGAAGUCGAAAUUUUAUGCUCCACUUUUUUCCCAAAAGUGUUUAAUUUCUCGUAUAUCAAUGUCAUGGAAUUUCAACGAUCUUCAUUAUCUUAUCAUAUGCACAUAUUUACUGCAGUCGUGUAUAAAUUUUAAAAUACAUAAAUACUCAAAAAAUAAUCAAAUAUGAGGAUGAAGUGCGUCGAUAAUUCUGCUUCGUUGCUUGAAUGUAAUUAUAAGUGAUGAAAUACAGUUACGAGGGCAUGAACAUGAUAAUAAAAUAAUGAGGUAAGAGGAAAAAUGAUCUUAUCUUCCUUACUCAGAAUAUGAAAAUAUUCACGAGGAAAAAAUACGAAGUGAGAGAUAAACCUUCAGGAACAUAUGUAAUGCGGUUUUAGUAUAAAAGACGUAUUUCGAUUCGUAAAUUGCUCAUUCACGUGGAAAUAACAAAACGUGAAGGUUUAUUUUUCUAUUAUGAAGUUUCUAGUAUUAUUGGUGAUGAUUUUUGUGUUCAUACCUGACGGUAAUGCGGAAGAUCAGAUGUGCUCUAAGAGUAUCGAGUGUAAUAGUAUCGCAGGUACUCCGCCCUACUGCCGCAAUGGACAAUGUACCCGAUGGGGACUGAUUCCAGAUGAGACGGGCUUGGAUCCAUGCUCGACAGUGAGAUGUACAUCAACUACUACUUGUGUCAUCAUCCAAGUUCAGUGUGUCACUGCACCUUGUCCUGGACAAGCUCGAUGUGCUCCCAAUAUCUGAAGAUCAUCAACAUCAUCGACUUUACUGAAUACUUGACCCAGAAAAACAGGAAAUAUCACAUUGAGACGAGGGAUUAUUUAUGAUAAACGAACGGAUUUUCGUUCUUUUAUAAAAAUCCCCAAAAGCUAUAAUUCUUAUUAUUCAACAAUUACCAAACUAUUUCUGUGACAGACAUUAUCAAUCAUAUUUAAUUGACAUGAUGAGGGUGAGCAGAAGUGGUCGACAAUGAGAUUCCAAUAAAUGAAGCAUUCACCUUUAUUGUAUGUAGCUAUUUCUGGAAAUAAAAACAAAUAUGUUCCAAACCUAGAUUUCAAUUUCUCGUUGAAAAUUAAAUAAAUUUUUCUCGCAGAUUUUCACUGAUAAAAACGAUUGGAGAGUUGAACUUCAGUGGUUCGGUAUUUCCGCUAAGUGCAAAGCACUCUUAACAGCAUUAAACUUUUGAAGCAUUAAAACUAAUUAUGAUCGACUCUAUUAUCGUAUUUGGAUAACGUGAAUGGUCGUAUCGCAACAAAAACCAUCUGUUCAAUACAGUGGCAUGUCAAGUGUGACAUAUAAGCCACGCUCAUGAUAUUUUCUCUCCAGUGGCAUUGAAAUUUCAAGACGUGCAUUAUCACCACGAUUUUUUAUUCUGUCAUGAAGUUGUACGCUGUCAUUUUGAAUUUAUUACUCAUGACUAUUUGUAAUAUUAUGGCUUUUCCGUGCCUUCAGUCUAUCCAGUGUCAUAGUAUCGGUGACAGUCCUCCCUACCUUCGUAAUGGCCAAUGCACUGAAUGGGGAUUAAUUCCGG